UUUGGAAUGCUUACUUAAACAUGAUAAAGUACAUAAGUAACAUGUUUCUUGUGAGUAAUAUUAAUAAAUACUGAGUUAAAAACUGAUGUAUGGAUAGAAAAACAAAAGAGCAUGUAGGUAAGAUAGUUACCGCACUCGGAAUAGGUCUGCAUAGUAUUUACAGACCCGGUGGCCUUUUAAAAACCUCGAUCGCUACGCUCUCUCGGUCUUCAAAUCGCCACCCGGGUCUGUAAAUACUAUGCAGACCUAUUCCUCGUACGGUAACUAUUACUUACCGUUACGCAUAUAGGUAACCCGAAGAACUCGAGGGAUAUAGAAGUUGAAUUUGUUUCGGUCCUGUUCAGAUUUGAAGGAAUGGAUAGCACGGGUCAAAAAAUGCAGAUGUAUAGACAAGGAGGUAUAUGGCAAGUAUAGAAUAUACAGUUGUUCAAUAUGGACCAUUAAUCAACUGUUUGCACUGCCUAUGAUCCUGAAAUAUCUAUACAUCAAAGGUAAA